GGGUCUAUAGCUCAGUUGGAUAGAGCAACAGCCUUCUAAGCUGUGGGUCGCAGGUUCGAGCCCUGCUAGACUCGCCA
rnacentral:tRNA from 1 species